rnacentral:lncRNA from 1 species
GACCAUGACAGCAAAGUCCUUCUGAAGAGUCAUUCAGUGAAGACUUGGGGGUUGGCAAAGUAGUCAGUUCUGUUUUUGCCCUCUCCUAAUAGUUCAAUGAGUUAAAGGAAAAGAAUGUUUUCACAGAAAAAAAAAAAAGUAUGUUUGUUUGCUUGAAGGAGAUCUGUCUAGCCUUACCUCAUAUCACUUCCCUUCUGGUGAAUCUGAUGGUGAAAUAAGUUUAUUCCUAAGAGAGCUCCCUAAUGCAAUUAAAGUGGGCGUGGCUUCUGCGGGUUUCAUGGCAGGAUGCAUCAGGAAUAUAGAAACUUGGAGACAAAUGUCCUGUGGUUAUUGUUAUGGUCUGAAUGUUUCUACACCCCCAAAUUCAUAUGCUGCCAUUCUAACCCAAGGUGAUGGUAUUAGACGGGGUGUCUUUCGGCAGUGAGGGCAUAAUGCACUUAGGAAGAGACUCAGAGAACUAGCUAGCCCUUUCCACCAUGUGAGAGUGCAACAAGGAACAGACUCUCACCAGACACCAAAUCUGCUGGCCCCUUGAUCUGGGACUUCUCAGUCUCCAGAACUCUGAGAAAUAAAUGCCAAUUGUUUAGAAACUACCAAUUUCAUGGUAUUUUGUUACAGCAACCUGAACAGACUAAGACAGUUACUGAAAAACCCCACUUUAAAUAUGUGAGCAUGGGAGCCCACAUUGCUGGACAGCCUCAUGGUAAAGCUAUCAAAUCCUGCUCUUGGCAUAUUUUGCAGUAGUGUUGUGCCCAGGGAGGGGGGCAGUCAGUCCUGGGGGACGGGCAAUAAGGAGGUGAACUGCUGGCCGAGAACAUAAACACAAUCAUUAUUAAAUUGAUUACAUGUAGUGUGCUUUUUAUUAUUACCAUGUGCCAGCAAUCCUAAACUAUGUCAAUGAUAGAACACCUUCCCAUAAGAAAUAAUUUUUUGUUCUAACUGGUCUAAUUGUUACAGUUAGUGUUACAGUUAGCGUUGAGAGUGUUUUUCCAUUUUUUUUUACUGUGAUAAAAUAUGAUUACCAUUUUAGCCAUGGUUAAGUGUACAGUUCAGUGGCAUGAAACACAUUAAUGUUUAGUUUUAAUAAAAUAUUUGUUAGCUUCAUUUUUUUUUUACAUUUCACAUACAUGAAAUAAGCCAAUCACAAAAAGAUAAAUACUACACAAUUCCACUUAAAUGAGGUUAUCUACAGUGAUCAAAUUCUUAGAAACAAAAAGUAGAAUGGUGGUUACUCCGGACUGGAGGAAGCAGGAAAUGAGAAAUUGUUCAGUGGAUACAGAUUGAGUAUCCUCUCUGAAGAUUUGUAUAUUUAAAAUUUUUUUCUUUAUCUGAUUGAGUUGAUUUGAAGAAUCAGUUUUUGAGCUCUGAGAUUCCACAGCUUGAUCUAUUCCUCUGUUAAUGCUUCCAACACUAUUAUGAAAAUUUUGUAGUGAAUUUUUAAAUUCCAGUUCAGUUUGGUUCUUUUUAAAAAUGGCUAUUUUGUCUUUCAAUUUUUGGGUCAUUUUUACUGGAUUCCUUGGAUUGGGUUUCUACUUCCUCUUGAAUCUUGAUGAGCUUCUUUGGUAUCCAGAUUCUGAAUUCUAUGUCUGUCAUUCCGGACAUUUCAGUCCUUGCUGAGGGGCUAGUAUGCUUAUUUGACGUUUUGAAUUGCCAGAGUUCUUGUGCUGACUCUUUUGAGAGGGCUGGUGUUCCUUUGUCGUCUUGUUUUUAUAUUAUUCAUUUACCUUGAGGGCUUAACUGUGGUAUAUGUUGAGUAUAGUCAAUUGGCUUCAUUUCUGGAUACUUUCAGAGGGCCAAGGCUCUGUAUGGGAUCUUUGUGGCUAGAUUCUUGCUCUGGGUUUUACAGGUGCUCUAUACUGGCAGAAUAUUUUGAAAUUGUAAUUUCGGCGGCAAACCAGUAGAUGGCGCUUAAGAGUAAUUGCCGGCAGGCUCUGACUCAGCGCUGGCUCUUUGGUAUUUUGUAUUCGCAGUCAUGCUCCAUAGUUCAGGGGAGAGAGAUGAUCCUUUUGCCAAGUCCUCUCCUGGCCCUUAGAGGAGCCCCCUCCAAUCACUGGAGCUGCACUUACGUUUCCUUUGUUAGGUGUUCGGAGCUGUGGGGGCUCUCUCCGGCAGAGGCUAAGGCUUGCAGACAGGCCGCAACCCUUCCCUGAAAGGCCCUGAGAGAGACAAGUCUCAUCCCGCGCUGGCCCACGAACUGCUUCUCACUCCUCCCAGUGUUCUGAGUGGAGGCUCCUCCCCCGCGCUUGCGCACCAGCCACAGGUCUCAGCUGGGCACUCCUGAGCUCUGUGCUGCAACCUUGGGGCAUUGGGCUCUGUCUUUCGGCCCCUCGGGGUCAGACCCCUGCUGUGUUGGGGGAUCCGAAGUGCUCCCAAGCUGCCUGGAAAGCAUUCAGGCGGGGUCGCUAGCAAGAACUCAGGCUGGGCAGCGGAGGCGGCACAGUGCACACACUCCUGCAGGAACAACCAGACAGGGGCUUUGGGAGGGGCUGCGUGCAGGGGGUCCCGCAGAACAUAUGCGCCCCAGUCCCGCAGGAAGGACCGCCCUGCUCUCUCUUGGCUCACUGGUGGGGACAGCACUUCCUGGAAUAACGUUGCUUUGGAUUUAACAACAGUUGGGCAAAGGAGGUCGGUAUACAGAUACAGGACAAGAAGAGUGGUGUCAAAGGGAGGCUAAAUCAUUGGUUCUGGCUUCAUCUAAGGAAUUCUUAUGAGAAAUCGAGGGAGAGACUGUCCUGGGAAGUCUGAUGAAACAUGAUCAAGAUAUUUUAACUUCUGUGUUUAGCGCCUUUAAUAGAUUGAGCUAAGAAGUCUAAGCAAUCUUCAGGGCUAAGAAACAAGCUGCACUUGCCAGAGUUGGAUGUUCACACCUUGGUGAUGGCUGAUAUUAAACAGAAUUCUUAAUGAACAAAUCGGCCUUGAAAAGGGAACAUGGUGAAGCAAGACAAAAGAAUUACAAACUUUGACUGAAACUUUCUCCUACCAGGAAUACAGGGACCGCUCACCAGGUUGUGAUGAGAAGGAUCAUCUGAAAUGCUCCAUUGCUCUCAGAAGUUGAGGUAACUUCAUUGGGCCCAAACUGAUAAACUAGGAAUGGCUCAGAAAAUAGCCCCUUAGAAGAACUGUAUGAAGCUUGGAUCCAUUUUUCUGAGAAAAAAGAAAAAUCCCUCCAAUGAUUUGGUGAGGAGUUGAAGACAAAUAUCUUUAUUAUUUAUAAGUAUUCUGGCCAAGACAAUGAGUGUUGGAGUGGGAGGAUGAGGGAAUUUUAUGAUGAACGACAGCACAGCAAGAUGGACAGUAAGGCUCUGUCAUUGCCAUACCAGAUGUACAGAAGUGUUGAUGGUUGUUUCUAGUUUGGGGCUAUUAUGAAGAAAGCUGCUAUGAAGAACAUCCAUGUACAAAUCAUUUUAUGGACACACAUACUCAUUGCUCUUGGGUAAAUAUCUAGGAAUAUGAUUUAUGGAUCAUAG